GGGCAUGUAGCGCAGUUGGUAGCGCGCUCGCUUAGCAACAAGUUGGGAAUUGAACCCCAGUUAAAAAUGCUUGCGAGAGGUCUUGGGUUCAAUUCCCAACCUGUCCA
rnacentral:tRNA from 1 species